AUUGAACGCUGGCGGCAGGCUUAACACAUGCAAGUCGAGCGAGCGGCGGACGGGUGAGUAAUGUCUGAGAAACUGCCUGAUGGAGGGGGAUAACUCCUGGAAACGGUAGCUAAUACCGCAUAACAUCAGAUGUGCCCAGAUGGGAUUAGCUAGUAGGUGGGGUAAUGGUUCACCUAGGCGACGAUCCCUAGCUGGUCUGAGAGGAGGAGGCGCCACACGGUAACUUAGACACGGUCCAGACUCCUACGGGAGGCAGCAGUGGGGAAUAUUGCACAAUGGGCGCAAGCCUGAUGCAGCCAUGCCGCGUGUGUGAAGAAGGCCUUCGGGUUGUAAAGCACUUUCAGCGAGGAGGCGUUACUCGCAGAAGAAGCACCGGCUAACUCCGUGCCAGCAGCCGCGGUAAUUC
rnacentral:rRNA from 1 species